rnacentral:rRNA from 1 species
ACUCAAAUGAAUUGACGGGGGCCCGCACAAGCAGCGGAGCGUGCGGUUCAAUUCGAUGCGACACGAAGAACCUUACCAGGGUUUGACAUGCAUGUGGUAGGAAAGAGAAAUCGGACCGACUCGCAAGAGAGCAUGCACAGGUGAUGCAUGGCUGUCGUCAGCUCGUGCCGUGAGGUGUUGGGUUAAGUCCCGCAACGAGCGCAACCCUUGCUGCUAGUUACAAGUGUCUAGCAGGACUGCCGGAUUAUUUCCGGAGGAAGGCGGGGAUGACGUCAAGUCAGCAUGUCCUUUAUAUCCUGGGCUACACGCACGCUACAAUGGGCGUUAUAAUGCGUUGCCAAGCCGCGAGGCGGAGCUAAUCGCACAAAAGCGCCCUCAGUUCAGAUUGCAGGCUGCAACCCGCCUGCAUGAAGUCGGAGUUGCUAGUAAACGCGCGUCAGCCAUAGUGCGUUGAAUACGUUCCCGGGCCUUGUACACACCGCCCGU